GACGAACGCUGGCGGCGUGCUUAACACAUGCAAGUCGAGCGGAGCGGCGAACGGGUGAGUAACGCGAGAGUAACUGCCCCCCUCUCUGGGAUAACAGUUGGACACGGCUGCUAAUCUCGGAUAGUGUGGGAUGACUCGCGUCCUAUGAGCUUGUGGGUGGGGUGGUGGCCUACCAAGGCGACGACGGGUAGCCGGCCUGGGAGGGCGACCGGCCACAUUGGGCUGAGAUACGGACCAAACUCCUACGUUGGGCAGCAGGGGGGAAUAUUGCACAAUGGGGGAAACCCUGAUGCAGCAACGCGCGUGCGGGAUGACGGCCUUCGGGUUGUAAACCGCUUUCAGCCAUGACGCGGUAGUGGCAGAAGAAGCACCGGCUAACUACGUGCCAGCAGCCGCGGUAAUAC
rnacentral:rRNA from 1 species